GACUGAACGCCUCUAAGUCAG
rnacentral:ncRNA from 2 species